UACGUAGGGAGCAAGCGUUGUCCGGAAUCAUUGGGCGUAAAGGGUGCGUAGGCGGGUCUUUAAGUCAGGGGUGAAAUCCUGGAGCUCAACUCCAGAACUGCCUUUGAUACUGAGGAUCUUGAGUACGGGAGAGGUGAGUGGAACUGCGAGUGUAGAGGUGAAAUUCGUAGAUAUUCGCAAGAACACCAGUGGCGAAGGCGGCUCACUGGCCCGUAACUGACGCUGAGGCACGAAAGCGUGGGGAGCAAACAGG
rnacentral:rRNA from 1 species